rnacentral:rRNA from 1 species
CCUACGGGAGGCAGCAGUGGGGAAUAUUGCACAAUGGGGGAAACCCUGAUGCAGCGACGCCGCGUGAGUGAAGAAGUAUUACGGUAUGUAAAGCUCUAUCAGCAGGGAAGAUUAUUACUGUACCUGACUAAGAAGCCACGGCUAACUACGUGCCAGCAGCCGCGGUAAUACGUAGGGGGCAAGCGUUAUCCGGAUUUACUGGGUGUAAGGGGUUCGUAGGUGGCAGGGCAAGUCAUAUGUGAAAGCCCGGGGCUCAACGCCGGUACUGCCUUUGAAACUGUCCAGCUGGAGUGCAGGAGGGGUGGGAGGAAUUCGUGGUGUAGCGGUGAAAUGCGUAGAUAUUAGAAGGAACACCGGUGGCGAAGGCGGCUUACGGAACUGUAACUGACACUGAGGCACGAAAGCGUGGGGAGCAAACAGGAUUAGAUACCCGUGUAGUC